GCUGGGUGUGGUGGCGUGCGCCUGUAAUCCCAGCUACUCGGGAGGCUGAGGCAGGGGACUCGCUUGAACCCGGGAGGCAGUGAGCCGGUUGCAGUGAGCUGAGAUCACACCACUGCACUCCAGCCUGGGCGACAGAGCAAGACUCUGUCUCAA
rnacentral:SRP_RNA from 1 species